GCUAAAGAGACAGAAGGGCUUCCACGACGGCAACGCUGAGGGGGCUCUUUUCUUUUGCGGG
rnacentral:antisense_RNA from 1 species